rnacentral:rRNA from 1 species
CCUGGCGACCAUAGAGCUUUGGUACCACCUGAUCCCAUCCCGAACUCAGAAGUGAAACGAUGUAUCGCCGAUGGUAGUGUGGGGUUUCCCCAUGUGAGAGUAGGUCAUCGCCAGGU